rnacentral:Y_RNA from 1 species
GGCUGGUCCCAGUGCCGUGGUGUUUAUAAUUUAUCAAUCAUAGCCAGUUACAGAUUUAUUUAUUCCUUCUCCACUCCCACUGCUUCACUUGACUACCCUUAC